rnacentral:rRNA from 1 species
GACAAACGCUGGCGGCAUGCCUAACACAUGCAAGUCGAACGGACAGAACAGGGAAGCUUUUCGGAGUGGAACUGGAAAGUUAGUGGCGGAUGGGUGAGUAACGCGUGGACAACCUACCUUGUAAAGGGGAAUAACCUCGAGAAAUCGAAGCUAAUACCCCAUAAUAACCUUGCUUCGCAUGGAGUAAGGAGGAAAGGCGGCCUUAGCGCUGUCGAUACAAGAUGGGUCCGCGUCUGAUUAGCUAGUUGGUGAGGUAAAGGCUCACCAAGGCGACGAUCAGUAGCCGGCCUGAGAGGGUGAACGGCCACAUUGGGACUGAGACACGGCCCAAACUCCUACGGGAGGCAGCAGUGGGGAAUCUUCCGCAAUGGGCGAAAGCCUGGCGGAGCAAUGCCGCGUGAGUGAAGAAGGCCUUCGGGUUGUAAAACUCUGUCCUUAUCGAAGAGAGAGUGUUGUAGUAACUGACAAUACUAGGACGGUAGAUGAGGAGGAAGCCCCGGCUAACUAUGUG